rnacentral:rRNA from 1 species
CAAUCUGCCCUGCACUUCGGGAUAAGCCUGGGAAACUGGGUCUAAUACCGGAUAGGACCUUUAGGCGCAUGUCUUUAGGUGGAAAGCUUUUGCGGUGUGGGAUGGGCCCGCGGCCUAUCAGCUUGUUGGUGGGGUGAUGGCCUACCAAGGCGACGACGGGUAGCCGGCCUGAGAGGGUGUCCGGCCACACUGGGACUGAGAUACGGCCCAGACUCCUACGGGAGGCAGCAGUGGGGAAUAUUGCACAAUGGGCGCAAGCCUGAUGCAGCGACGCCGCGUGGGGGAUGACGGCCUUCGGGUUGUAAACCUCUUUCACCAUCGACGAAGGUCCGGGUUUUCUCGGAUUGACGGUAGGUGGAGAAGAAGCACCGCCCAACUACGUGCCAGCAGCCGCGGUAAUACGUAGGGUGCGAGCGUUGUCCGGAAUUACUGGGCGUAAAGAGCUCGUAGGUGGUUUGUCGCGUUGUUCGUGAAAUCUCACGGCUUAACUGUGAGCGUGCGGGCGAUACGGGCAGACUAGAGUACUGCAGGGGAGACUGGAAUUCCUGGUGUAGCGGUGGAAUGCGCAGAUAUCAGGAGGAACACCGGUGGCGAAGGCGGGUCUCUGGGCAGUAACUGACGCUGAGGAGCGAAAGCGUGGGGAGCGAACAGGAUUAGAUACCCUGGUAGUCCACGCCGUAAACGGUGGGUACUAGGUGUGGGUUUCCUUCCUUGGGAUCCGUGCCGUAGCUAACGCAUUAAGUACCCCGCCUGGGGAGUACGGCCGCAAGGCUAAAACUCAAAGGAAUUGACGGGGGCCCGCACAAGCGGCGGAGCAUGUGGAUUAAUUCGAUGCAACGCGAAGAACCUUACCUGGGUUUGACAUGCACAGGACGCGUCUAGAGAUAGGCGUUCCCUUGUGGCCUGUGUGCAGGUGGUGCAUGGCUGUCGUCAGCUCGUGUCGUGAGAUGUUGGGUUAAGUCCCGCAACGAGCGCAACCCUUGUCUCAUGUUGCCAGCGGGUAAUGCCGGGGACUCGUGAGAGACUGCCGGGGUCAACUCGGAGGAAGGUGGGGAUGACGUCAAGUCAUCAUGCCCCUUAUGUCCAGGGCUUCACACAUGCUACAAUGGCCGGUACAAAGGGCUGCGAUGCCGCAAGGUUAAGCGAAUCCUUUUAAAGCCGGUCUCAGUUCGGAUUGGGGUCUGCAACUCGACCCCAUGAAGUCGGAGUCGCUAGUAAUCGCAGAUCAGCAACGCUGCGGUGAAUACGUUCCCGGGCCUUGUACACACCGCCCGUCACGUCAUGAAAGUCGGUAACACCCGAAGCCAGUGGCCUAACC